CCGACCUGGAGCCUGCGGAGUCGGUCUCCGACGUGUGCGGGACUGCAGCGGCCUGACUUCCAGGCGCAGGGGUUGGAGCAUCCAUCAAAGUUUUUAGAAGAAAACAUGCAUUAUGACCUCACUGGGAAGAGGCCUUAGAAGGACUGCUAACACUGCCCUCGAAAUAAAAAUCUAACUGGAUUCACAUGAGACACACCAAGCUAGAUCCAGAUCAACACCUACAUGAUAGUGAGAAGGCCAUCCAUAUGAGUGACUUCAAGUUGAGGAUUCCCAGGCUCCAGAAGCAGAUGACACCAUGAAGUAGGCAGCUUUGUCCAAAAUCUUGAAUCAAGAACGUUGUCUUCAUUUAUCUUCCCUUGAAGCCUCUCUCCCGGACUUGGGAAGUUCUCUGACCUAGAAAUUAAAAACAAAAACAAACCUCUUUUAUUUAUAGAAAGAUUGGGUGGAGCUUGCUUGUCUUAAUCUUGUCUCCCUCUGUCCCUCCACUAUGGGCUCCCUUUCAAACUGUGUCUUGCUUCAGCUAACCGUUAUUGCUUUUUCAACAAUUCUAGCACAAUCCCAGUACCCACUCCCACCCCUCUUCCAAACCCUGGCCACCUUAGCUAAUUUAUCUGACUGCUGGUUAUGUCAACACCUAGAUAACGCACAAGAACCUGAAUUAGUUUUUGUUCCUGCCCAUGCAAGCACCUGGUGGACCCAUUCUGGACAGUGGAUGCAUAAAAGGGAAUGGUAUCCACAAACAAGAGGACACAAUCACUCUACUUCCUCCUAUGGUAGAGUACUUUGCAUUGGGAAACUUCUGCGGAAGCUCAAGGUCUGUCAUUAACUCAGGUGAGACUUUUGGAGGGAAAUUUUUCUGUUUGCAUUGAAAACAAAAAUGGCACUGGACCCUUCCUAGGUGAUGUACCAAAACAAUACUGUAAUCAAACAGUAUGGUUUGAUUCCACAGAUGGCACCUUCAGACCUUCUAUAGAUGUUGCAAAUGAGUCCAAGACUGAUUAUGAUGAUGCAAAUGUUUGCCUAGUCACUGGACAAUAUUCCUGGUUUGCAGGCCACAUGACUGGGACCUGGAACAGCUCACCUUUUCCCCUGGUCAGUCUGCCCAAUACCCAAGACUACAUAUGGGUGGACCAAAAUUCUGGAAUGACCUGGUUAGGUAAUGACACCUAUCUCUAUAUAUAAUAGAUUGCGAAAUAUGUGUCUUAUAUUUCACAACUUGUUUUGUUCUUAUAGGCUGACAGAGGCACAUGGUAAAUGGAGAUGUGCAGCUGCCAACAUAACUAAUGACAAAGGUCAUGGUGGACACCCGAUGCCAGCCUGGUGGGUUCCACUCUGACCUUGUCCGUGAACAACUCUGGUCUUUUUAUCUUAUGUGGUGAUAAAGUAUAUAAGGAGUUCCCACCUAACUGGUCAGGGCGAUGUGGACUCAGAUACCUGGCACCUUCCGUCAGCCAGUAUCCCGCUUUCAAUGGUAGCCAAAUUACAAGUGUGGGCUCUUUAAUACAUAAAGUAGCACCACACAGACGUACCCAACGAGACGUCAUAGACCAUCCACCUGUUUAUCACAACCCCAAUUCGUUAAGGGCCCUUUUUUCAAGAUUGGGAACUUCUGAUCUAGAAGAAGCAAUUCUAAGCAUUUCCAAAGCCACCGAACAAGGAUUGGCUGCCACGGUGCAGACCUCGGAGGCGCACCAGUCAAGAGUUAGCAGCUUACUCUCUGCACUGCAAAAUCACCAUCUGGAUCUAUCGGCUGCUCAACAAGGAAGAACGUGUACGAUCAUUGGCAACCAGUGCUGCCUCUAUGUAAACAAGUCAAAAGAAGUGAGGUUUCUUUUGAACAGUGUGAAGGAACGGAUCGACAGUCGACCUCGAAUGAGGGAAUUAGCCUUUAAUUGGACUGACCUCGUCUCAGGAGUGAGAGACUGGUUCAGUGGACAUUGGGGCCACAUGUUUGGAUUUGUUCUGCUCGGCUUCAUCAUUGUUCUCAUCUGUGUUGCCGUUCGCAGAUCUCUCACCUCCCGAGUUCCUGCCCAAGUGUCCUCUUCACAGCACUACACGGGGCUCCUUGCCUGUGGAACUUCAUGUGAGGUUUCAAACAAGGAAACCAGGGGACCAGCCCCACCGGAAGGGCAUAAAGACUCCUUUGCACUGACAGCAUCUGAACAAACAGCAGCUGCAGAAGGAGGCCUACUUCAGACUUCUCUUUGAUGAGUAAAGCAGGCCUUUCUGAGAAUUCAGCUGUCCUAACCCUCUCUCCAGGGAGCCUUUUGUAAGGGAGGAGCCUGACUUGGUAUCUGGGCAUCCGAAGAAUUGUGUAAAUAAGUCCUAACUGCACCUUCCAUACUUUCCACUGAAGCUUUAAUACCCACUCCCCAUCCCAUUAAGCUGGUAUAUAAAACCUUAUCUCUGGCUGUUCAGUGGCGGCCCUUUACAUGCUUCCACAUACAUACAUGAUAGAUGUUGCUCCUAUCAAUCUGUUAAUUCGUAGGCCCUCAACAAUUUGAACCUGUGUGUUUAAUAACUGAAGACUUUCCCUUCAGGAGGAAGCUGUAAACCAUUUAAUAGCUGGGAGGAUUUGAUGUGCUCUCCUGAUUGCCCGUGUACUUUAAUCUCCAGUCUAAAGGGGAGGUUUGUCUGGGGUGAAUGGUAGCCGUCUGAUUUCCCAUGGGCAGAGGCAGGGGAUAGGAUUGUAGAGAUGGGGCAGCAUUUACUGUAUUGAACGCGUCAUCUGCCCAGUCCUGUGGUGAGGUCCUUACAUUUUUCUAUAGAAUCCUCUCCAGUUUGUAGGUGAAUAAACUCAAAGGGUAGAUGACAUGUUAAAGAUUACAUUAUUACUAAAAACAAGAGCAAGGUGCACAACAGGGUAUCUGGUGCACUGCUGUUCAUAAAGCAGAGGAAAUAGAGUAUACAUGUGUAUAUAUGUAGAUUUACCCAGUUUUGCAAAUAGACCACUCAGAAAGGAUAAGUCAGAAGCUAAUGAAGGUGAUUACAUAUAAGAGGCAUGGGCAGUGAGAGUCUCACCCCCUUUUUUAAAAGUUGAAUAUAAACAAACUGAUGAACAUUUUAGCAAAUUCACAACUUUUUCAUAGAAAAUAAUUCUUACAAGUUAUGCAACAUAAACCCAGUAAUUCUGGGUACAUCUUAGAAGUGGGUUUAUUGUUCAUAGUAGUGUUGUCAAAAGAUUGAAGAAACAGCCUAGUCCAGUGAGACAGAGCGUAAUAACAGUUCCUUCCCUGUGUGUGUUAAGCAAAAUGUGGCUGAACUCUUGGCAUUGAAACUAGAGAAGCCACUGGAAGAUAAGCAUGCAGGGCUCAGCAUCCGGUGUGGUAUGUGGAUCAUAAGGCAGAUGACGGAUGCAGGGUGCUAUGUUAGAGUGGCACAAGUGUUAAGCCGUCAAGGGAAAAUAUGAGGAAAAGAAAUCUAGAUUCAUAGUAACCUCAAUUGUCUUCUGUAAAAUGGAAUUAAACAGUAAGGGUGGGUAGGACCAGUACUGCUUACUUACCUUUUUUGGCCAUAAAAAUGAGUCUGUUACUAACUUCAUAAUAGGAGAAGGUUGAUAGCCACUGGCCCUUGGAUUCAGUGUUCAUAGUCAGUGUUAAAGAGGUUUAAGACAAAACUAGAUUAUUUGUUCGCUUGUGUGCCUGCUGUCUUCUCUCUGCCAGAAUGUAAGCUUCACAAAGACAGGUGUAUUUGUGGAAUCACAGUGAAGGGGUUGUGGUGAGAUGAAAGAAUGCGUGCAAAGCCCUCACAGUUGACCAUGGGCAUUGCUUAACUAAAUGUAAGAUUGAGUUCACCUGUAGCCAAUAUGAGUCUCUGGCAGAUUUGAACUUUUGCAUUGGCUUUUGUCAGGUGUAAAUUUGAAAACUUUUGAAUAAAGUUGAUUAUAAAAGUUGGA